rnacentral:rRNA from 1 species
UACGUAGGGGGCGAGCGUUGUCCGGAGUUACUGGGCGUAAAGCGCUUGUAGGCGGUCCACCAAGUUUGGGGUGACAGUUGCCGACUUAAUCGGCAAAGUGCCUCAAAGACUGGCGGACUUGAGGGCCACAGAGGGACAUGGAACUCCAGGUGUAGUGGUGAAAUGCGCAGAUAUCUGGAAGAACACCAAAGGCGAAGGCAGUGUCCUGGGUGGUCGCUGACGCUGAGAGGCGAAAGCCAGGGGAGCGAACGGG